GGUAGCCGGCCUGAGAGGGUGUCCGGCCACACUGGGACUGAGAUACGGCCCAGACUCCUACGGGAGGCAGCAGUGGGGAAUAUUGCACAAUGGGCGCAAGCCUGAUGCAGCGACGCCGCGUGGGGGAUGACGGCCUUCGGGUUGUAAACCUCUUUCAGUAGGGACGAAGCGCAAGUGACGGUACCUACAGAAGAAGGACCGGCCAACUACGUGCCAGCAGCCGCGGUAAUACGUAGGGUCCGAGCGUUGUCCGGAAUUACUGGGCGUAAAGAGCUCGUAGGUGGUUUGUCGCGUUGUUCGUGAAAUCUCACAACUCAAUUGUGAGCGUGCGAGCGAUACGGGCAGACUGGAGUACUGCAGGGGAGA
rnacentral:rRNA from 1 species